AGUAAGUGAGACAGUCACCAAAGAGGUUUUUUCGCUUAUCUGCUUGUCCUUAGCUUUUCACUCGCCACAUAUGCUCAUCCACCGCAUUUUUCUCUUCGUCUGUACAGCGGCACUGACAAUACUACCUACCUAUUCAACAUCAUAACCUCAAGUGAUAAUCGACAUUACUCCUGGAAUGAACGCAACGAUCCUCCAGCUCGUGCGUUAUAAGAGGAGACAGAGCGCCAAUAUACUAUUCUACUUUUCCCAAUAGUCAACUCGAACAAGCAUUUUGAAUGCUCCAGUAUGUUACGGAUGGUAUAUUGUUCGACCCUGAAGACAUAACGAUCGCACUGUGACAGGGUGGGAUUUCACCACUGAUGUAGAGUCGAUCUUCUUCGACCAUCUUGAUCAACGGGCCGCUUCCAAGACAGACAGCAACGACGAACUACGACAACAGCCUCCAUGCCAACGGUUCUAGGGGAGCAAAUGCCAACAUCUUCUGGUCUUCCGCCUUCAAUACCUUCUCAAAACGAGCUAAGGAAAGCACGGCCACUAGUCCAUCUACAGGCGCCCACGUUCUGCGUACAUAAAGGCGCCAGGACAUCUAAUCCGAGUGUGGCAGUGUUCGAAGCACGGGCACAGCAAAAGAGCUACAGUAAUCAACGGACAUCUAGGAUCUACACUUUCAAAGAAAAGAUUGCCAAAUUGAAAGCGGAAAACGUCACAACUUUACAGGAAACCGUUGCUUAGCAGCCAAUGACUAUCGGCGCGAGAGGUACGGUAGUUAAAUGUACAGCUUUCGUCCUUUGG
rnacentral:sRNA from 1 species